GACGAACGCUGGCGGCGUGCUUAACACAUGCAAGUCGAACGGAAAGGCCCUGCUUGCAGGGUACUCGAGUGGCGAACGGGUGAGUAACACGUGGGUGAUCUGCCCUGCACUUCGGGAUAAGCCUGGGAAACUGGGUCUAAUACCGGAUAGGAGCCAUUUUUAGUGUGAUGGUUGGAAAGUUUUUUCGGUGUAGGAUGAGCUCGCGGCCUAUCAGCUUGUUGGUGGGGUAAUGGCCUACCAAGGCGGCGACGGGUAGCCGGCCUGAGAGGGUGGACGGCCACAUUGGGACUGAGAGACGGCCCAGACGCCUACGGGAGGCAGAAGUGGGGAAUAUUGCACAAUGGGCGCAAGCCUGAUGCAGCGACGCCGCGUGGGGGAUGACGGCCUUCGGGUUGUAAACUCCUUUCGCUAGGGACGAAGCUUUUUGUGACGGUACCUAGAGAAGAAGCACCGGCUAACUACGUG
rnacentral:rRNA from 1 species